AUGAACGCUAGCUACAGGCUUAACACAUGCAAGGUCGAGGGGCAGCAGGGCAAUAGCUUGCUAUGUGCUGGCGACCGGCGCACGGGUGAGUAACGCGUAUCCAACCUACCCCGCGGUCAGGGACAGCCCGGCGAAAGUCGGAUUAAUACCUGAUGCAGUCAGAAGAGGGCAUCUGAUUUUGACGAAAGAUUUAUCGCCUCGGGAUGGGGAUGCGUAGGAUUAGGCAGGCGGCGGGGUAACGGCCCACCGCGCCGACGAUCCUUAGGGGUUCUGAGAGGAAGGUCCCCCACACUGGUACUGAGACACGGACCAGACUCCUACGGGAGGCAGCAGUGAGGAAUAUUGGUCAAUGGGCGCGAGCCUGAACCAGCCAAGUAGCGUGCCAGGACGACGGCCCUAUGGGUUGUAAACUGCUUUUAUGCGGGGAUAAAGUGCGGCACGUGUGCCGUUUUGUAGGUACCGCAUGAAUAAGGACCGGCUAAUUCCGUGCCAGCCGCUGC
rnacentral:rRNA from 1 species